GAUAAGCCUGGGAAACUGGGUCUAAUACCGGAUAUGAGCCUGGACUGCAUGGUCUGGGUUGGAAAGGUUUACUGGUGCGAGAUGGGCCCGCGGCCUAUCAGCUUGUUGGUGGGGUAACGGCCUACCAAGGCGACGACGGGUAGCCGACCUGAGAGGGUGACCGGCCACACUGGGACUGAGACACGGCCCAGACUCCUACGGGAGGCAGCAGUGGGGAAUAUUGCACAAUGGGCGAAAGCCUGAUGCAGCGACGCCGCGUGAGGGAUGACGGCCUUCGGGUUGUAAACCUCUUUUGACAGGGACGAAGCGCAAGUGACGGUACCUGUAGAAGAAGCACCGGCCAACUACGUGCCAGCAGCCGCGGUAAUACGUAGGGUGCGAGCGUUGUCCGGAAUUACUGGGCGUAAAGAGCUUGUAGGCGGUCUGUCACGUCGAUUGUGAAAACUUGCAGCUCAACUGCAAGCUUGCAGUCGAUACGGGCAGACUAGAGUACUUCAGGGGAGACUGGAAUUCCUGGUGUAGCGGUGAAAUGCGCAGAUAUCAGGAGGAACACCGGUGGCGAAGGCGGGUCUCUGGGAAGUAACUGACGCUGAGAAGCGAAAGCGUGGGUAGCGAACAGGAUUAGAUACCCUGGUAGUCCACGCCGUAAACGGUGGGUACUAGGUGUGGGUUUCCUUCCACGGGAUCCGUGCCGUAGCUAACGCAUUAAGUACCCCGCCUGGGGAGUACGGCCGCAAGGCUAAAACUCAAA
rnacentral:rRNA from 1 species